rnacentral:misc_RNA from 1 species
GAUGAAGAACGUAGCGAAAUGCGAUAAGUAGUGUGAAUUGCAGAAUUCAGUGAAUCAUCGAAUCUUUGAACGCACGUUGCGCCCCUUGGUAUCCCGAGGGGCAUGCCUGUUCGAGCGUCAUUUCACCACUCAAGCCUGGCUUGGUGUUGGGCGACGUCCUCUUUGGGGACGCGCCUCGAAACGCUCGGCGGCGUGGCACCGGCUUUAAGCGUAGCAGAAUCUUUCGCUUUGGAAGUCGGGGCCCCGUCUGCCGGAAGACCUGCUCGCAAGGUUGACCUCGGAUCAGGCAGGGAUACCCGCUGAACUUAAGCAUAUCAAUAAGCGGAGGA